AUGCUGAUACUGGAGCUGGGGGCGUGCAUCAUCCCAAUGACGCUCAUCUUCGUGCCGCUCCGGCGGCUGGUCCUGCUGGUGGCCAAGCUGCAGGAGCUGGAGGAAUGCUUCAUGCGCCCCAGGCCGCCGCCCCCGCACAUGUCCGCCGAGAUGUACGGCCACAUGUCCACCCUGCACACCAUGGCCAUCAUGGUGUGA
rnacentral:rRNA from 1 species